GACGAACGCUGGCGGCGUGCUUAACACAUGCAAGUCGAACGGAAAGGCCCUGCUUGCGGGGUACUCGAGUGGCGAACGGGUGAGUAACACGUGGGUGAUCUGCCCUGCACUUCGGGAUAAGCUUGGGAAACUGGGUCUAAUACCGGAUAGGAGCCAUCUUUAGUGUGGUGGUUGGAAAGUUUUUUCGGUGUAGGAUGAGCUCGCGGCCUAUCAGCUUGUUGGUGGGGUAAUGGCCUACCAAGGCGGCGACGGGUAGCCGGCCUGAGAGGGUGUACGGCCACAUUGGGACUGAGGUACGGCCCAGACUCCUACGGGAGGCAGCAGUGGGGAAUAUUGCACAAUGGGCGCAAGCCUGAUGCAGCGACGCCGCGUGGGGGAUGAAGGCCUUCGGGUUGUAAACUCCUUUCGCUAGGGACGAAGCUUUUUGUGACGGUACCUAGAUAAGAAGCACCGGCUAACUACGUG
rnacentral:rRNA from 1 species